rnacentral:misc_RNA from 1 species
AACGCACAUUGCGCCCCCUGGUAUUCCGGGGGGCAUGCCUGUCCGAGCGUCAUUGCUGCCCUCAAGCACGGCUUGUUGUUGGGUCUACGUCCCCCCGGGGACGGGCCCGAAAGGCAGCGGCGGCAUCGCGUCCGGUCCUCGAGCGUAUGGGGCUUCGUCACCCGCUCUUGUAGGCCCGGCCGGCGCCAGCCGACCCCAACCAUUUUUCUCAGGUUGACCUCGGAUCAGGUAGGGAUACCCGCUGAACUUAA